ensembl:miRNA Mir3577 microRNA 3577
ACGUGGUCCUUAGUGGAGGUUUGCUUGUUAUAGGGGCUAAGAGGGGCCAGGCGUGCCUGUCAUCAUCUGUCCCUCUUGGCCCUUAGGCUCGGCAUGCUACCUAUGGCAUCCGU